rnacentral:rRNA from 1 species
CGUAGGUGAACCUGCGGAGGGAUCAUUACUGAGUUUACGCUCUACAACCCUUUGUGAACAUACCUAUAACUGUUGCUUCGGCGGGUAGGGUCUCCGUGACCCUCCCGGCCUCCCGCCCCCGGGCGGGUCGGCGCCCGCCGGAGGAUAACCAAACUCUGAUUUAACGACGUUUCUUCUGAGUGGUACAAGCAAAUAAUCAAAACUUUUAACAACGGAUCUCUUGGUUCUGGCAUCGAUGAAGAACGCAGCGAAAUGCGAUAAGUAAUGUGAAUUGCAGAAUUCAGUGAAUCAUCGAAUCUUUGAACGCACAUUGCGCCCGCCAGCAUUCUGGCGGGCAUGCCUGUUCGAGCGUCAUUUCAACCCUCAAGCUCUGCUUGGUGUUGGGGCCCUACAGCUGAUGUAGGCCCUCAAAGGUAGUGGCGGACCCUCCCGGAGCCUCCUUUGCGUAGUAACUUUACGUCUCGCACUGGGAUCCGGAGGGACUCUUGCCGUAAAACCCCCAAUUCUCCAAAGGUUGACCUCGGAUCAGGUAGGAAUACCCGCUGAACUUAAGCAUAUCAAUAAGCGG